rnacentral:rRNA from 1 species
AGAGUUUGAUCCUGGCUCAGGACGAACGCUGGCGGCGUGCUUAACACAUGCAAGUCGAACGGUGAAGCUUCGGGGUGGAUCAGUGGCGAACGGGUGAGUAACGCGUGAGUAAUCUGCCUCUGACUCUGGGAUAACCACGGGAAACGGUGGCUAAUACCGGAUAUGACGUAUGGCCGAGUGGUCUGUGCGUGGAAAGUUUUUCGGUCAGAGAUGAGCUCGCGGCCUAUCAGCUUGUUGGUGGGGUAAUGGCCUACCAAGGCGACGACGGGUAGCCGGCCUGAGAGGGCGACCGGCCACACUGGGACUGAGACACGGCCCAGACUCUACGGGAGGCAGCAGUGGGGAAUAUUGCGCAAUGGGCGAAAGCCUGACGCAGCGACGCCGCGUGAGGGAUGAAGGCUUCGGGUCGUAAACCUCUUUCAGCAGGGAAGAAGCGAGAGUGACGGUACCUGCAGAAGAAGCACCGGCUAACUACGUGCCAGCAGCCGCGGUAAUACGUAGGGUGCAAGCGUUGUCCGGAAUUAUUGGGCGUAAAGAGCUCGUAGGCGGUCUGUCGCGUCUGCUGUGAAAACCUAGGGCUUAACUCUGGGCGUGCAGUGGGUACGGGCAGGCUAGAGUGCGGUAGGGGAGACUGGAAUUCCUGGUGUAGCGGUGAAAUGCGCAGAUAUCAGGAGGAACACCGGUGGCGAAGGCGGGUCUCUGGGCCGUAACUGACGCUGAGGAGCGAAAGCAUGGGGAGCGAACAGGAUUAGAUACCCUGGUAGUCCAUGCCGUAAACGUUGGGCGCUAGGUGUGGGGCUCAUUCCACGAGUUCUGCGCCGCACUAACGCAUUAAGCGCCCCGCCUGGGGAGUACGGCCGCAAGGCUAAAACUCAAAGGAAUUGACGGGGGCCCGCACAAGCGGCGGAGCAUGCGGAUUAAUUCGAUGCAACGCGAAGAACCUUACCAAGGCUUGACAUGGGAUGAAAACUCGUAGAGAUACGGGGUCCGCAAGGGCGUCUCACAGGUGGUGCAUGGUUGUCGUCAGCUCGUGUCGUGAGAUGUUGGGUUAAGUCCCGCAACGAGCGCAACCCUCGUUCCAUGUAGCCAGCACGUUAUGGUGGGGACUCAUGGGAGACUGCCGGGUCAACUCGGAGGAAGGUGGGGAUGACGUCAAAUCAUCAUGCCCCUUAUGUCUUGGGCUUCACGCAUGCUACAAUGGCCAGUACAAAGGGCUGCGAGACCGUGAGGUGGAGCGAAUCCCAAAAAUGGGAGACUGCCGGGGUCAACUCGGAGGAAGGUGGGGAUGACGUCAAAUCAUCAUGCCCCUUAUGUCUUGGGCUUCACGCAUGCUACAAUGGCCAGUACAAAGGGCUGCGAGACCGUGAGGUGGAGUUAAUCCCAAAAAGCUGGUCUCAGUUCGGAUCGGGGUCUGCAACUCGACCCCGUGAAGUCGGAGUCGCU